rnacentral:rRNA from 1 species
GUCUACAGCCAUAUCACCCUGAAUGCACUCAAUCUCAUCUGAUCUCGGAAGCCAUACAUGCUCCCACUUGCCAUUGUAGGUA